rnacentral:sRNA from 1 species
UGUAAAUACCCUCCUUGGGUGUUUCCUCCCUAGACUUGAAGCCGCGCCCAGUGCGCGGUUUUUUUUGCCCUGA